GUGAAUUAGCGGCGAACGGGUGAGGAACACGUGAGGAAUCUGCCUUCAACACUGGGAUAACUCCGGGAAACCGGGGCUAAUACCGGAUAUGAGACCUGCUGGCAUGAGCGGGGCUGGAAAGUUUUUCGGUUGAAGAUGACCUCGCGGCCUAUCAGCUUGUUGGUGAGGUAAUGGCUCACCAAGGCGACGACGGGUAGCCGGCCUGAGAGGGCGACCGGCCACACUGGGACUGAGACACGGCCCAGACUCCUACGGGAGGCAGCAGUGGGGAAUAUUGGGCAAUGGAGGAAACUCUGACCCAGCGACGCCGCGUGCGGGAUGAAGGCCUUCGGGUUGUAAACCGCUUUCAGUAGGGAAGAAGCGAAAGUGACGGUACCUACAGAAGAAGCACCGGCUAACUAUGUGCCAGC
rnacentral:rRNA from 1 species